rnacentral:misc_RNA from 1 species
GAGAACAAGUUAUAGCACAGCUUAAAUUUUGUCGAGAAAUAUAUGAGGGUUAUGUUCCAAUGACCUAUGACGAGUACCUGAAGAAGAUGAGCAAGAAAGGGGAAUGGGGUGAUCAUGUUACACUACAAGCUGCUGCAGACUGGUUUGGAGUUAAGAUAUUUGUGAUAACAUCAUUCAAGGAUACAUGUUCAAUUGAAAUACUUCCACAAGUUCAAAAGUCCAAUCGGAUUAUUUUCUUGAGCUUUUGGGCUGAAGUGCA